CCUUCAAGAUCUGAAAUUCUAUGACUAUUUCUUUAAUGUUCAUUAAAAUAGAAUUCAUCCUUAGAUUUCAUAUACAUAUGUAAUUUCUUUCUGCACAUCUGUUCUCAUCCAUUAUGAAGUAGACUCUUUACCGAUAUCUUUUUUCUUCUUGAAUAGCACUUCCUCCCCAUAGAGAAACUACCUACUUCUUCUAACAAAGUCAUUUUGCAACCUUUAUUUUUUUUUCAUUUCAGCCUUUCCCAUUCUUAGUUUCUUCCCUUCCUGGACUGUAACUCCAGAUUUUAAUCUGACAUCCUCCUUCCUGAAGAUUUCUAUUUAUGGAUGAUAACUGAGAGUUCAAAUAAGUGUGAACCCUCAGGACCAUUGAAAAGAAGAGUGUGGUUGGCAUUUUUUAGACUUGACAUAUUUCUCGACCUAUAGAAGACCAAGACCUCUGGUACAGGAGGAAAGAGAUGAGCUUGUCUUGAAGGUGCUAUUUGUUGUAAUUAUUGCUUUCCAUUCUUGCUUUGAAUAGAAAAUGUAUUCUUAGGGUAGAUGAAAAUAUGUCUAUGUGUCGGGGUUUCCCUUUUGGGUUCACAGAGAAUUAUAAUGGCCAUGGAUUUGGGCUAAGUAACUAAAAACACAUAAUUCAUUUUGAUAAAUUCUAUUACCAUCUAUAGAAGGAAGUUUUCUUUAUAAAUAUUUGGAUCAUAUUAAAGACUAUAGAGAUUUGAAACUACUCUCAUACUUUUCUGAAUAUGCAACUACCAAUUCUAUAUCUCACUUUUAAAUUACUACUAAGAGGAUCAUCAAACUAUUGCUCUUAUUGCAUCUGCUAAUGAAUUUUACAUGAUCUUAAGACAUUUGUGAGAAAUUCUUUUUGAGCAAAGUAUCUUUAAAGCUAAAUCAUAUAAUUCAGUUAAUUCUUUUUUCUCUAAGAAAAUGCAUGGGAGUUUUUGUAUACUUGAAGUUUUUCAUUAAAAUUAUAUAAAUAUAAAGAUUUGGC
rnacentral:lncRNA from 1 species